AAGGGCUUAGCUUAAUUAAAGUAAUUGACUUGCAUUCAUUUGAUGUGAGAUAAAAUCGUGCAGUCCUUU
rfam:Myotis lucifugus cont2.13090, whole genome shotgun sequence.